rnacentral:tRNA from 1 species
UAAAAAUAAUGUGCCUGAUUAAAGGGUUAAUUUGAUAGAUUAAAUAAUAGAAAAAUUGUAAUU